GCUUAACAUAUUGUGAGCAAUUAAUCUUCAACUAGGAAUCUACCUGGAUAAAUGUUACUAUGAGUCAGUUGUGUUGGAUAUUAAGGAAAACUUGACUCAGAGUUUAUGCAUUUUCUUCUGAUUAUGGUUUUCCUCCCUGCCCUGUACUUACAACUAAAUCUAUGGGAAUAUUAUGUCUGUAAGCAUAAAUAUAAACCAUGAAUUAACAAAAUGUAUUUUAUGGAAGAACAAAUCCACGCAGACUAGGGUUGGUUAUAAUUUCUAAAAACCAGAGCUAUAUUUCCCAGAUAAAAUAUUCCUUUUAAACUAAUAUGUUUAUCCGUGUUGAGAAGUUCGUGGUCAUGUAGUCACAUAUAUUCAUUUUGAACAGGAAAUCUUUGAAUGUCAGUUUCAGGGAAAUAGGUGUUCAUAGCUUUCAGUAAAAGUAGAAGUUAAAAUAAGUCAUAUUUUAAACAUCUUCUGAAUGAUAUAAUAAAUAUAUGUUUUACUACAUUUUGGUGCCCAUUAGAGAAAUAAACAAAAGAAAUGGGGGGAGGGGAUUUUGUAGGUUUUAAAAUAAGUGGGAGUUAUAAUUGCAGUUUUACUCACCUAUAACCUACAUCAUUUUGACAUUUAUGUCUUUCCAUAAGGACACUUUGGCAUGUGCUUUAUCAUUUGUUCUACAAAUAUUUAUUGGCUACCUACUGUGUGUCAGGCAGGUAUGGAUAGUAUGGAUUCAGCAGAGAACAGAAAUAAACCAUCUUUGUUAGUUUCUUUUUGCUACCCCAACAAAUUACUACAACCUUAGUGGCUUAAAACAAUGCAAAUUUUUUAUCUUACAGUUCUGAGAGUCAGAAGUCUGAAAUUAGUUUUACUGCACUGAAUUCAACGUACUGGCAAGGCUGGUUUUUCUGUAGGCUUUAGCGGACAAUUAAUUUCUUUGCCUUUUACAGCAUCUAUAGACCACCUCUGGUCCUUGGCUUACUUCCCCUCUCUCCAUUUUCAAAGCACAUCAGUACAAACUCUGGUUCCAUCUUCAUGUCUCCUUUCACUGACUUUGUCCCUCUUGUCUCCCUCUUACAAGGACCCUUAAGGAAGGGCCCAUCUGGAUAAUCCAGAAUAAUCUUUCCAUCUCAUGGUCCUUAAUUUAAUCACAUCUUCAAAGCCCCUGUUGCCAAUAAUAUACUAGCUGUUUGCAAGGAUUAGAAUGUUGACAUUUUUCUGGAGGAGGCAUGAUCCUUCUAGGGGGAAGGAAGUUUACCUUUUCCAGGGAUGACAAUGAAUAUGUAAACAAAUUAAUUGUAUAAUUUCAGGAAUAAAUAUUAUAGAACAUUUUUAAAGGGCAAAGGAGAGUGAGUAAUUGGGUAUGGGAAGGAGUGGCUAUUUCAUUAGAGGUGGCCAGAAAAAGUCUCUGAGAUAUGAGACUUGAGAUCCAAAUAAUGAGAAGGAGGCAAAGAGCUUUCUCAGGGAAGGGAUCAGCAAGUGCAAAGGCCCAGCAUUAUUAACAAGCUUGGCUAUUUUAGGACAGAAAAAGGCCAUUGUAGUAGUGGCUUAGAGUGGCAGAGACAGGGUCAGAGAGAAGGGAUGGGCCCUGACCAUGCACUUUUGUGCAGGUCAUGAUAAAAAGCUUGAAUUUUAUCCAAAUUAGAAGAGAAAGCAAAGGAGAAUUUUAAGCAAGGGGAAGAUAUGAUACGAUUUAGCCUUCGAGAAGAUGACUUUUCUUGUUAAAAUGGUGAACUGUAAGGGGUCAAGCUGGUGGUAGUGAGACAAGUUGGGAGGAGCAGCUGCAGUAGCCCAGAUGAGAUUGACCUCUAGACCACAUCUUCCUCACAGUAUCUUUAUUAGUAGAGUUGCGGAAUGUGCCUGUCAAAUGUUAAAUAAGUGUUCCUUGUUGUGAUUUCCUUGGCAAAUGUUUGUGCCUGGAAAUUUUGCUUGCAGUGUACAAAGAAACCUUGUAGUCUUGAGAAAAACAGAAAAUAAGCAUGUCCAUGUUUGCCAUUGCCUUGGGGUAGACAGAAACUCUGGAGUGUAUCCAGAGGAAAACAUUUAUGCCAUUGAUCCAAUUUAUUCACCCAAGUUCACUGAAGGGUGUCAUACCAUAAGUUGGCUUUAAAAGUUGGUGAAUAAGAUAUUCUGUUAAAAACUAGUAUUUGGGUUUCUAAAGUAAAGUGAAGAAAACCAAAUGAGUCAGGUUCCAGGGCUUCAGAGUUUAUGUACCCAGCGAGACUGGAGACUGAAUAUAAGCAUGAGAGGAAAUGUUUUCUUAGCAUGUCUCAUUGAAACAAAUCAACACUCAAGGUUGUUUUUAGAGGCACAAUUCAAUAAUUUUGUAAAAAUAUUUUACUUAAAAAUUUUUUCUUUUUUGUUACCUGGAACGUCCUUUUUCUUAUAUUCUAUCAUUCCCUUCAAAAUUUAACUGUUCCAGUACUCUGCUUUUAUGAACCUCAUUUGAAGGGAAGAGGAGCAGAAAUCACACUUACCUCACGGGAAUGCUAUGGUGGAAGAGAAAAUAUAUACAAAGUAUUGUGGCAAGAACAUAGUAGGUAAUCAAAAGUAUUAUUUCUUUUCUAUUUGUUCAACCCUUUCAUAGUUAAUUGAUUCAGUGACAAAUUACUCUUGACAAAUGAUCCCUAGACUGGGAAUAAGAAAUCCUUAGCUUUGUUCCAAGCUAGUGGCGGUGCUCGAACUUAAACUCAGACCUUUCUACACUUCAUUCAAAGGUUAUCCAUACCACUUAGCUUCUCAUUCAUUCAAUCAAUAUUUACUGAGUUUAAAUCUGGUUUAAAUCACCCCUACUACAUCCAUGAACUCAACUUGUAGAAGCAUAGAUAAUUGGAACCCUCCCACUGUUCUUCUGAGCACUGGGGAGUUAGAUCGCUUUGCCUUCUAUUGGAUAUAAACAUUCAUAGCACUCCUUCAAAAGCCACAGUUGACUGGGGCCAGACAACUGAGUCUGAUCAAUUCUGGAUUGUUAGGAUGUAUUUUGUUACCCUGUAUUUUGGCUAUUUUAUCUUUAAAAUUACAUGACUUUGUACUGAUAUCAAAAUAAGCUGCAGUUUGAAAAUAUUAAAAGAAGCUUAGAGACAUAUUUAUACUUAAACAUCUUAUGAGAAAUGGGCUAAUAAAUGUGCUUUUAAAAUAUAAACAUUUGACAUUAUAAUGCACUAUCCCUUUAAUUAGCUUGCAUACCACUCCAGAUUUACUUAUAGAAACAUUAAAAAUUGACUCAAUAAAUUUUCUAGACAAUGUUGUUAAAAUAAUUUGUUCACGUAUUUCUCUCAUCUCUCCUUAAAGUUCAUAUUUUUUAAAUCUUUUUAUUUGUAACAAAUUUUACAAUACUCACUAUGUUAAUAAACUGUGUGCCUUAUUUGUUUUUCUUCACAUCUACUUUCAUUUUUAAAAGAUCCAAUAAAAAUAAAAAAAGAUUAUAGCAUUUCCUCAACUGCAACAAGUCUUACAGAAAAUAAGCACAUCUCUAUAUUGUCAUCUGCCCGUUAAGUAUUUUAUUUGUUAGACUCAUUCACAUUGUGUUAAAGGUUUGUAAUAAAUAAUGAACAUUUUUAAACAAAUAAUUUGAAAAUUGCUAGGGCUUGCUGUGUGUUUAUGAGUAGAAAUUCCUUUCUAGCUAAUAGGGUGUCAUACAUUCUCAUGGAUCAGCAAAGCAGGUGCUUCCUCAUGAUUACAGAAAGUUGUACUAUGGGGAGUUGCUCUCCCUUUUCUAGGAACAUCUCCCAAACUUUAAGGUCACGGCUGCUCCAGACAAUGCCCUGUGUAACCGGUAAAUACAUUUGAAAUUUGCAUUAUUCAACUUCACAUUCUUGGAUCAGUUCAAUGACAAAACGGGCUGAAUGGUAAGGUCAUGCCAUCCUCAGCACUGUUGGGCAUUUAAAUGGAAACUGUCACUGUUUCACAAGUGUGAUCAUCUGUUGUUGGGUGUGAAGUUGUACUAGACAUUUCAGGUCCUUCCAGAUUUGAAGUUUACCUGAUUCUAUGAGCUCUACUCUUUUUCAUAUUUUCUUCUGCUUAACACCCAAAAGGAAAAAGAUCCAUGCACCAGAUAUUCAGUUCAUUCACUGAUUCCCCUUAAUGAUAUACUUGUGGUCAAAAACUUUUUAUGAGAAUAUCUAAAUAUUAUAUAAAAAUCAAUCUUAUUUCUCAACUAUGCUCUUCACCCACAGCUUCUUUCCAAUGGUAGCGCACAUCCUACUUGUAUCAUGACACUUUCCACUCUCACAUCAUGAUGCAUUUAUUCAUUCAUCAAUCAACGAAUAUUUAUUGAGUACCUACUGUACCAGAUACUGUGUUGUGUUGGGUACUAGGAACACUGCAGAGAUCAAGAAAGGCAAGAAUCCUGUAUUAUUGAGUUUUCUUUUAAUCAGAUUUUUAGAAUGGUAUACUUAGUGGGCUGAAAGUUGGCCCCAAAGUUAUGUAUACAUCAGAGUCUCUGAAAUCUGCUAUUAUUACUUCAUAUGGCAAAAGUAUUAAUAUUACCUUGUAUGGCAAAAGAUACAAAUAAAUUAAGGAUCUUAAGAGAAAAAGGUUACCCUGCAUUAUCCAGAUGGACCCUAAAUGCAAUCACAUGUAUCUUGUAAGAGAGGUGGGAAGGCUGAAUGCCACGCACGUGGAGAGGAUUGUGGCCAUAAGCCAAAAAUUGUCAACAGUCAUCAGAAUCUAGAAGAGGCCAGGAGUGGUUUUCCCAUAAAAACCUUCCUGGUUUCCCACUCCAGAGAAAGUGUGGCCCUGCCACCGCUUGAUUUUGGACUUCUGACCCUCAGAACUAUGAGAAAGUAAAUUUCUGUUGUUUUAAGACGUUCACUUUGGAAUAACUCAUAUGACAGCUCCAGGAAACAAAAUAAUUUAGAAAAUCAGGCUUAAGAGCAGGAGACUUGGAAUCAAAUGCUACGCUCUAUAACUUAGAAAUGAAGGACAAUAACCCAAUCAAUUAAUCUCCCUGGCUCAUUUUAUUCAUCUGUAAAAUGGGAAAACACAAUCUAUCUUCCAUGUAAUUAUUGGCUUAAACAAUGGUUUGUAUUUGCUAAGCCCAGACUAAGGGAAGCAUACAAUAAUGAUAUGCAUUAGAAUAUGCUAGCUAGUAUAGCCAUUUUUGAAAUGAUUUAAAAGAUAAAGUUAUUUUAGAAGAGUUCUUUAAUUGAAAAUGUUAAAAAGUCCUUUUAGCAUUAUUUUAUGGUGAUAACUAAAUUAAUACACGUAAAAUAUUUUAUAUAUGUGACCUUUGAUAGUUAAACAAAAAAAGUGGACAAUAAGAAAAAAAGGGAAUAGGUGGUUCUACAAGAUCAAAUUUUCAUUAUAUUUCACACACAUAUAGCUGGCUGAAGUAGACACUGAUGUUUGCUUACCUCCAUUCAUUCCCUUCUCCUUCUUUUCUGAAGUAUCCUAGUUAUAUUCAAAUACCCACCCAGUCCACGAGACUCAGAGCUGACCUCAGGUCCUCACAUGCAGCUCCAAGUCUAAACAGCAAAACUCCAUCCCCCUAAGAAAGAUGUGGCUCAGGAAUAGACAUGUGCCACAAUUUGACCAAGGAAACCAUUUGUUCAAGCCUUCUUAGAAAGUUCUGUUUUGCUUAUCUGGAAAAGACUUUAGGUGUAUCCUCUUUCUUUCACAAAAUUUGAAUAAGGAAGAAUCCUACAGCUCUGAUUCUCUGAUAUUUCAGGAUAAAGGUGGCAGUUAGGACUGCAGAUUAGAGACAUGGUUAUCAUUGACCUGUUGAAUUAAAUAACACUGAGCCUUACCCUACCUUUGUACUCCCAGCUAAGUGAGCCAAUGAAAAGCUUCAUUUUUUAAAAGGACAAUUUGUAUUCAUCUUUUCUGUUACUUAACGCAUAUCCUAAGUGACAGACUGAUGAUGUUUGGCUCUGUGUCCCCACCCAAAUCUCAUCUUGGACUGUAAUCCCCACGUGUCGACAGUGGGAUCUCGUGGGAGAUGAAUGGAUCUUGGGGCAGUUCCCCCAUGCUGUUUUUGGGAUAGUGAGUGAGUUCUCACGACAUCUGGUGGUUUAAAAGUGUGGUACUUCCCCCUUGUGAAGAAGGUGCUUGCUUCUCCUUCACCUUCCACCAUGAUAGUAAGUUUCCUGAAGCUUUCCCAGUCAUGUAGAAUGGUGAGUCAAUUGAAUCUCUUUUCUUUAUAAAUUACCCAGUCUCAGGUAGUUCUUUAUAACAGUGUGGAAAUUGACUAAUACAUACACUGACCUAGCAAGUGCUAGGAACAGCUCUAGCCCUAAAUAAACUCACUUGUUUAUUGGUAUACAGUCAUGACCCUAAAUGAACACACAUUCAUCAACAUUUAGUUAUUAUUUAAAUUCAAAUCUACUAAAGGUACUAUCAUAUGUGAGAAUCAAUCAAAAACCAAGAGAUGCUCAACAGCUAAGAAGGAAAGAAAAAAACUAGUGAGGCUAUGUAUAGUUUGCUUACUUUUUUUUUAAGUUGGAGAAAAGCAGCAAAAAUAAAUAUAGUUCUUAGUACCAAAUAGGUACUAUGCAAGUAUGUAGCAAAUGGCUCACGAUCCUUCCAUUGUAAAAUUUGCUUAGGAUGAGUUUUCCCUCCAGAAAAUUGUUAUGAGAACAUAUGUUGCCUCCAAAAUUCUCCAGUUGGACAAUGUUCCCUGCUGAAAUACUCAUAGUCUUCUCAGGAAUGUGGUAAACACAUGUGAUUCACAGGGUGGAUCAAAGUGAUACUACUUAAAAAAAAAAAAACUAAACCAAAUACGUAUGUUCACUAAGGAUAAAGGCACAAAUAAUAAAUCUUAGCAUAUGUUCUAAUAGAAAAUAGCUUUAAAAAUGGAGAAAGAGGCAUGUAGCCUAAAAGAGGGAAGAUUUUAUAUUUACUUGAAAAGGUUCUUGGUAAACCAGAAAUUAUACUUGGAACUGUAUUGUUAUGGGGAAAGAUGAUACCUUUUACAUUCCUCCAUUUCAUAACUAAUGGUGUGUCAUUUCCAGAAAAACAAAAAAUAUUAUUCUAGGCCUACCAAUAAUUGUCCCUCCAACUAAAUGUCUCUGUCAAUUUGGGAUCCUGAGAUUAUAUUCCAUAAUCCCUCAUUUGUUGUAGAGGCAAAGUAUAUUAAUAUAUUCCAAAUAUGAUUUUUAAAAAUCAUGAAGUGCCUUAAUAAGAACACCAUUUUGAGUUGAGGUGAGGAGUGAAUAGUCUAUAGAUGUCUGGGUGCCUAUGAAGAUCAGACAGGUAAAGAAAAUUAUGCCCAGCACUUUCACAGUUUAUCUACUGUUAGGUACACUGUUACAAUAACUUCUUUUGCAGAACUUUUAAUUGCAGAUUAUGGAAGCAAAUUUUGGGGAAAAAAAGUUAUUUUUAGGGCUAAUGCUGUUCAUUGUUUAGUCUUCUGACUCUUCAAAAACUGCUUUGGUCUAUAAACAAAAGUUAUUAGAAAGAGAUAUCAAGAGAAAAACAUAAAUAUGGAGGCGCAUUAAAUCAUUUUCGUGUCACUUUUUCGAUUAAAGUAUCAUCAAACACUUACUCUGAUCUACUGUUCUCUAGCUCUCUCUUCCCCUCAUCUCUUACCCUAAGCAAACUUAGGACAUAGAUACCUUUACACUUCUGCAUAUUCAACAAACAAGAUAUGAAGACUGUGAGAGUGAGGUUGAGACAGUCAGCUGGGUGUGUUUAUUUAUGGAUUCACAAACACUGCCAUGGGAUAUAACACAUUACAGAGACCUAAAAGAAAAUUCUCAAAUCUCCAUCCUAGAACAAAAGUUGCCAAACUUUUUCUGUAAGGAGCCAGAUAGAUAGUAAGCACGUUAGACUUGCACACAGCCUCUAUCACAGCCACUCAACUCUACUAUUGUAGCCAAAAAGAAACCAUAGUAUGUAAACGAAGGAGCACAGCUGUGUUCUCAUAAAACUUUACUUAUAGACACUAAGAUUUGAAUUUUAUAUACAUUUUACAUAUAUA
rnacentral:lncRNA from 10 species